UUCGUUGCCGUCGCCGCCGCAUCUCCCUCUCCUUCAUCGUUGAUCUACACGAGCCCACUCGCCACAAACCCACGCCGACUCAUCUCCGAGCCCACUUGCCACAAACCUACGCCGACCCAUCUCCCUAGCCCAUCCACCGACCCAGCUCGCCGAUCUUCCUCCACUCCUCACCGGCCCAACUCCCAGAUAGAGAUAUUUAAGCGCAGCCGCUCCUUUUAGGGUUUAGCUUAGUUUUUCCUCUCGGACCAAAAAGUAGCCAUGGUCGAAGUGGUGGCCCCUCCUCCUCUAACAGAACCGACAGAAACCGUUGUUCUGGAACCCCGACAGCCUCACAACGUUGUCAAGCUCUUCUUGAGGAGUUUUGGAUUCUGAAGCUCCAAUGACAGAGCAUGUUUCGAGGGUAUUGCCGAAGAAUGAGGGUUGGUUAAUAGGAACAAAAGAAUGCUGGGGCAGCUUUUGGGGACAUUAGAGGCUAAGCAGAGCACGUGAAGAAAGCAAGAAGCUGAGGCAACAAGAGCGUGAGCAAAAUGCCGAAAAAAAGAGUAGAGAUCUGGUUUGUUGUUUAUUAUAACUUUGUAUUUACACCUAUUGAAGUUUUGUACGUGCAAGUUAGAUUUGAGCUUAUAUAAGGAAGUAAAAUAAGUUAUCUAACAGUAUAUCUAUAUGAGAAAACUUGACAAGGUGCUAGCUUUCACAUGACACUUGAACAAGAAAGAGAAAGUGAUGGUAGGAUAUGAAAAAGACGCACAUUUAAACAACAAGAAGAAAGUAAUGUUGAAAGAAACACAUGAUGUACGUGGAAAAUCCUAGAGAAGGGAUGAAAAACCACGGUUUGAGCAAGAAUGUAAUGUUCUUGCUCUGCUUAGAUCGUAUUAUGUGUGAAAAGUGGUUGAUUUCUUACAACAAGAUUGUUCCUCUCUCCUACCAACUCUCUAAUCUCUUUUCUCAAAUCUCUCAUUUUUGUUCUAGGGUUCUUGCCCUAAUACAGCUGCAUAUUCCUCUUAUAAUAUGAGGAAUAUGACUGAGUACAAGGACAGGUGUCAAGUCAUAAUUUCCCUACUUAGGACCUUUGCACAGCUGUGAUAUUAUUUGCUGACUAGAGGAUAGGAAUUGUGCCAAUGUUGCAUUGGGACCCAUGGGUAGGUGGCCUUGCCACUGCUUGGGAAACAAGUCUUGGAUAUUGAGAAGGACAUCAAGAGUAUUAUGAUUGAUACACGUGUCUCUGAUGUGGUCCAACUUCUGAUCUUAGAAAGUCACCAUCUCCCUUUUUGUGAGUGCUUGAGUACUAUGCCAGGUGCAAAUCUUAUUUCCUUCCCAUGGCAAUCACGCCUUUAGUACAGACCAAGACAAAAUCCCUUAGCCAACGCUUCCUCUUCCUUUGCUCACAACCAUUCCAUGUGUAAGGUCUAGAUUCAACCACUUAUGCAUUCUCCCAUGCCAUAGUAGUGUUAUGUACAAGCUUCAAAGGUGAUCUUUUAUUAUGAUCCUUACUCAAUAUCUAAUUCUUGUCCUUUUGUUUUAUUCAGACUCUCAGGGCACGUGUAGUUGCGAAGAUAGAACAAAAAAGUUGGAAUUGUUAUUUCUUCAGUGGAGUGACCACCAUAAAAAACUUUGCAAUUUUAUAAGGACCAAGGCAGAACCUCCAAUAUAUUAUUUACCUAAAAAACCUCUAGAAGAAGGCAAAACUAUGGUCUAGCAGCGAAAAGAAC